CGGAUCUUCAGCAGUGCAGUAGGCGUGCAGCGUUGCGGUCUGCGACCACUCUCCAGAAAACUUCUGACAAGGCUCGUAGAGACUUGGCCAUGUACAAUGCAAAUGACACGGACACCGAUCCCUGGAAAUGGUUCUGCAGUGAUAAUGCCUCCCUCUGGCAAAGCGAUGAAGCUCUUCGGACAGUCUGCCUUGUGGAUGCCGUCAAGUUCAUUCUUCAGACUUCCUGUUUCACCCUGUUAUCACUCACCCUGCUGGUCGUAGGAUGUUGCUCGUGCCAUAAUGGCUGGGAUACAAAACAUCGGAAAAGGUAUCCGUUACACACAGCUCAGUGGAUCCUCAUGUUACUCGUCUUCCUGCUCAAUCUGUUGUCCACGGCAGAGGGACUCCUCACCGACUUGUCCUUCCGUUGGAACGAUCUCCCUGGUGUGGCCUACCCCACCCAGCCACACCUCUAUGUGCCACCCCUCUCUGGCCUGGCGUUGGCCUUCGUGGCCAUGCUCUGCUACCACCACAUGGAGGUAUGGCGGCAGUGGCAGAUGGCCUGGAUCCUGCUAGUCAACUGGGGCCUGGCACUGGCCGGCGAGGUGCUUCACCUCCUAAGCCUCCUCAAGAUGGAGCUGGCGUCGAUCGAGGUGCUGAGAUUUGACCUGUCAGUCCUCUUCAUCGCUGCUUACUUUGGACUGGUUUCACUACAAGUCAACAACAUCAGGCUAAAGAUUUCCUGUUCCAAGGGAAAUGUUCACAAGCCUGAAGAGCCUGCUCCACCAAAGACCAUGAGGUUCACUGAAGAGUUCAGCAGCUUCAUCUCCGAGGUGACCUUCUGGUGGCUGAACUGGGUAUUUCGGCUGGGUUACAAACGGCCCCUGGAGAUAGACGACCUCGGCCAACUCCCGGAGGUCCACUCUGCUGGUUACAUCCACAAAGAUUUCAAGGCGGCCUUCCAGAAGGAGCAAGAGCGGGCAAGGUUCAAAGGUCACAAGCCAUCCCUGUGGAGGGUCUACUGGUCUGUGCACGGAUGGAGGAUGGUGUUUGCCUUGGUCUUGAAGCUGUCAGGGGAUAUGUGUGGGUAUGUGGGUCCCGUGGCCCUCAACGGUAUCAUCUUGUGGGUGGGGAGAGUCAAAGAUGGAUCACAGGUGGCCAGCGAACCUCAUUUCAUCACUGUAUCCGAGUUUUUCCAGCACGGUUUAGUGCUGGUGGGAAUCACGUUUAUCGUUGCCUGUAUUCGCACACUGCUAAUGCAGACAUACGAAUAUUGGUGCGCUGUAGUGGGGAUUCACUUUCGCUCUGCUGUCCAGACGAUGGUUUUUGAGAAGUCGCUUCGCAUCUCGACCUUUGUCAUCUCCAGCGGCGAGAUGACCACUGGGCAGAUUGCCAAUCACAUGUCGACAGACGCCGUGAACAUCUUCACCAUGAUGAUUUACAUUUGCUGGAUGGUAACGGUACCCGUACAGGUUUUCGUUACCUUGGCACUGCUGCUCGGUCAGAUUGGCUAUUCUGCCGUUCUUGGCAUGGUUGUGUUUGCAGUCUUUGUUCCCUUACAAGCUGUUAUUGGGAAGUAUAUGGCGAAGCUGGAGGAACAAACACUGAGUUUUGCCGACGUUCGCCUGAAGCUGUCCAGCGAGGUUCUGCAGGGCAUCAAGCUACUCAAGAUGUACGGCUGGGAGGACCUGUUUGGCAGGGAGAUCAAGAAGAUAAGGCAGUGGGAGAUCUGGACGAUAUGCAAGAUGAUGUUGUGCUAUGGGGUUAUAGGUUCACUGACAGAGGCAACACCACUCAUAGCAACAUUAGUGACUUUUAGCACCUUCACGGCCCUGAUGGGCGAGGUCUUGACCCCCGAUGUAGCCUUCUCCUCCCUCUCCUUCUUCAUGCUCCUCCAAGACCCUUUCUUCCUCUUCCCCUUUGCCCUGUUCUCCACUAUCAACGGUGGCAUCAGCACGGGGCGUCUCGCGGCAUUCCUAGCUGCGCCAGAGGUAGACAUGAAGACACUCAGUGCUGUCAAAGUGAAGAGGCAAAUGCACGAGGUGCGGGUGGGAAAUGGAAAUCACAUGCCAAACUGUGACGAUGAUGAUCAGGAAGAUCACAUCGAGGUGCCGCUGUUGAAGACAAAAGUGAAAAGAUGUAAGGAUUCCAGCGGAUCGCUGGUUUCCUCAGUCAGCCAAGAGACCAACAGCUCCUACGGUUCCAUGCUCAUGAAGUCCUCCAGCCUGGACUCACUGAUGGUCCUACCCAGUCACGUUGCAAUCAAGAUUGAAAAUGGCUGCUUUGCCUGGGAUCCAGAUAGAAAUCAGCCGGUACUUCAUGAUCUGAACAUCACUAUUCCAGCAGGAAAGUUGACAAUGGUUGUUGGAACAGUUGGAAGUGGCAAAUCAUCCCUUCUGUCGGCCAUGUUGGAAGAAAUGACACUGCAGAAUGGGGCCAUAGUGAUAAACGGAAGCAGAAACUCCAUUGCCUACGCAGGGCAGAAAGCAUGGCUGUUGAACAUGUCUCUGAAGGAGAACAUCCUAUUUGGCCAACCCUUCAACCACAAAAGGUAUCGUCGGGUCAUCUCUGCCUGUGCCCUGCAACCUGACAUAGACAUGCUGCCGGCCGGCGACCAGACAGAGAUCGGAGAGAAAGGAAUCAACAUGAGUGGUGGACAGAAACAGCGCAUCAGCGUGGCGCGGGCCAUGUACUCCAGAAGAGAUAUUGUGCUACUGGAUGAUCCGCUGUCUGCUCUUGAUGUCCACGUUGGAAGCCACCUGUUCCAGCAUGGUAUUAUGGGUAAUCUACUGAAAAAGAAGAAAACGGUCAUCUUGGUCACCCACCAACUGCAGUAUCUGGCCCACGCUGACAAGAUUCUGUUAAUGAAAGAGGGACGGGUAGCGCAGGAGGGAAUGCUAGAGGACAUCAUGGCGGCUGAGCCAGACCUCUACAACGGCUACCAGAAAGCCGUCAAGGAGAUGACGGACCUGGAGUCUGAGGCAGAGACAGACGGAGAGUCCAGGAAACAGGAGAUGAUGCAGAUCAGGAAGCAGAUCUCGCAUCAAGAGUCGAGCAUCAGAGACGAGGAGGUGGCAGAAACCGGCGAUGAGCGUGGUCGUCUGAUGGUCAAGGAGGAGAUGGAGCGAGGCUCCGUGUCUUGGAGUGUCUACUACUACUAUGCCAAGGCCAUUAGGCUUCCCAUAGCCCUUCUGAUACUGCUGGUAUAUCCCCUCCAAGCCGGCAUCAUCGCAGGGAAUAACUACUGGCUGGCCAACUGGUCUGAGGCGGGACUGAGUCCGGGAAACGCAACAGACUCAGCCUACUACGUCGGGGUCUAUGCAGCGAUAUCGGUAGCCGGUGUUUGUAAUUCCUUCAUCACCACGAUGACCACAGUCAUAGGUUUGCUCAUUGCAGCAAGACACCUGUUCAACCUCAUGCUGAGCAACAUCAUUCACAUGCCCAUGCGAUUUUUUGACACAACACCAAUUGGUCGUAUCAUCAACAGAUUUUCUGCAGACACACAGAUCAUAGAUAUGAAACUUACCAUGUGCUACGAUGCCAUCUUUUUCUACCUGACAUCUAUCCUGGCAGCCUUGAUUAUCAACGCCUACAUCAGUCCCAUCUUCCUUGCCACAAUUCUACCCUUCUGUGUCUUCUACUACCUGGUCCAGAAGGUCUUCGUCACAACCUCCAGAGAGCUGCAGAGACUUGACAGCGUCACCAAAUCACCCAUUUUUGCUUUCUUUUCCGAAACUCUUGGCGGGCUUUCAACAAUUAGAGCAUACCGCAAGCACCAAACCUUUUUUGACGGUAUCAUGGAGCGAGUGGCCACCAACAACACGGCUUACCUGUACCUGCAGGCAAGCAUGAGGUGGCUGGCUGUCAGAUUGAUCUGCUUUAAAGAUUGUCAAAGAACCAAGCUCAGGUGUCGGUGUACCUACAGCAGUUGGUCCGGUAUAUGGCGGAGACUGAGAUGCAGAUGAAUGCUGUUGAGAGGGUGAAGCACUACACGACACUCACAACAGAAUCGUACGAAGGGAUGGAACCGCCAUUUCAUUGGCCAACAAGGGGAGCAGUCUCCAUCGAAAACAUCUCGGUGAGGUAUGGCGAGGAACUGGAUCCCGUUCUCA
rnacentral:misc_RNA from 1 species